AAAACUUUCAACAACGGAUCUCUUGGUUCCAGCAUCGAUGAAGAACGCAGCGAAAUGCGAUAAGUAAUGUGAAUUGCAGAAUUCAGUGAAUCAUCGAAUCUUUGAACGCACAUUGCGCCCCUUGGUAUUCCGGGGGGCAUGCCUGUUCGAGCGUCAUUG
rnacentral:rRNA from 3 species